ACAACUUCCCACCUUGUUGAGGAUUUCUGAGGGUGGGCAGCCGUGAGGGGAAGGCUCGGCUCUUCGUGCCCUCAGAAGCCUGAAAAAUGGCGGGAAGCCGUGAGGGGGCAGCGUUCCCGCCCUCAGCUUCGCCUCACGAUCGCCGAACAGGUGGACACGGACCGGCGGAGCCUUCCAGUGAACAAGAGGGGAGUGCUGAAGCCUUGGGAAGAGGAAGCCCUUUCCUGACGGACGGACCUUGGCCGAGCGCUGUGGGGCAGCACUGGGCUCUGCUGGAAAGGUAUUUUCCUUUCUUCUGUGGUAAAUAUAAGGUGGGCCCAUUGUUUUCUUCUUUCUGAGCCUUCUCUACACAAUAAAAAGCCCUGGUGGAGGUGGACAGUGCUCGCCCUCCAUAGAUGGUCCGGAGCCUAAGCAGCAACAUUGAGUCACUAGGAAUGUGUGUAAGAAACAACUCAUCACAAGGGAAAAUGAGACACUUUUAAGGCAGAGAAUUCACAGAUCUGUUUGGCAAACUACUUUGUUAGAGCUGCUUGGGGAAUGUGACACACAGUGGUGACUUCCCAGAGCUGAGAAAUGCAAUCAGUGCAGGUGACCAGCCCAGGAGAUGAGGACUCCAGACUGUCAAGUGCUCACACUAUGGGGGUAUAAAAACCCAGGGGUUCCUUUGUUUGGGGCUCCUCAUUCCAGGCACCAAACUUGAGCUGUUCUUUUUCUUAUUGCACCAUGAAUAAAGUAUUUUAAGGAUCAUG